AACAAACCCCCAUUCUCCCUUAAAUUGCUUUUUUCCGGGUAUGUAGAGUAAAUGCUGUUCAUACUGAGACAGGAAAAAAAGUGUCUAUAAAGACCAAGUGCAAAACGAUAUUAUAAACCAGACUAGUAUGAUUGUGUAUGUAUGAGACACAAGGCAUGCUACCUAUCCCUAUAAGCAAGUGUGCAUGUAAAUUACCAGCAAAAGCUCUCUGAGGACAGAUUCCAGCUAAGCACACAGGUAACGGAGGAAGAAGUGUUAAGAUAAGAAGGAUAAAGUCUAUCUCUGGGGCCUGACACCUGCUUCUCACCUAUUUCGGCACCAGGCACACGGAUGAAGCACAGACAGACAUGCAGGCAAAAACUCAUAUAUAUAAAAUAAAUUAAUAAUGGUAAUAA